UACGGGGGGAGCAAGCGUUGUUCGGAUUUACUGGGCGUAAAGGGCGCGUAGGCGGCCCCGGUAAGUCCGCUGUAAAAGUCAAAGGCUCAACCUUUGAAUGUCAGUGGAUACUGCCGGGCUAGAGUCCGGAAGAGGCGAGUGGAACUCCUGGUGUAGCGGUGGAAUGCGCAGAUAUCAGGAAGAACACCGGUGGCGAAGGCGGCUCUCUGGGCCUUACCUGACGCUGAGGAGCGAAAGCGUGGGUAGCGAACAGG
rnacentral:rRNA from 1 species